AAGAAACCAUAAUUAAUUAUAUUGUGAAUAUUCUUGAAGAAUAAACUCAAUGUAUGUUCUAUACCCAUGUAUCCCUCUAGCCUACUAAAAGACCUAUAGCUCUCUACACAAAACUGUAGUUAUCCAAGUGUUUAUUGGAUCACAAUGGUUUGUUUCAAAAAACCUUUGCUAAAAAUACUCAGGCCUUCAAUAUUCAGUCUAGAUAAGAAAAUAAAAAAUAACUUUUAUAACUAGGAAACCGCAGCAUCAUCUUACUAUAACCCACUUUAGAUAAUUUAUACACAACUAAUCAAAUUUCAGGCACCUAAAACUUUAGAAACCAAGUUAGAUUCAUAUAUAAUUUGUCGCUAGAAUGAAGAUGUGGAAAAUCAAGACUCGUGAGUCUCAUUUACAAUGUAAUGAGAAAUUAUGUACAGAACCAAAAAAUAUUUCCAAAUUAUGACACAAAUGAAGUCAGUAUGGAGAGAGGGAGACAGGGAAAAAAAAAACAGGCCCACUGAUUAACAAUUAAUAGUUACUGAAGGAUUAUGUACUGAGCAAUACAAGUUGGUGUUCCCCUGUAAUCCUAACAAAAACCCUCUAUUUUUUAUUCCCAUUUUCAAGAGGUGAACGAAUACAUAGAGUGUAACUUGCCCCAAAUUACACUUCUAAUCAUGAAACCUAUAAAUUUUACACCACAGUCUUAACCCAAAAAAAGAGAGGACUAAGGGUCAUCCCUACCUCUUCUAUCCACUGGUAAAACAGUCACAAACUCAAAGCAUUCACGAUGACCAGGCUAAUAACAAUGAGCAAAGCUGCACUCCCUCAAAACAAAGCAGUAGAAGUAGGUAAACUGACUCUGAACCACUCAGAUGUGCUAAAGCAGUAGAAACAGUAAGGGUAGUAGAGGGGGAACAUCUCUACACCUCCAGAUGAAAUUUCAAUUUUAAUUUUUUACAGAAGUACCUUUACAUAAUAGUAUAAAUAUCAAGUAGAUAUCAUAAUCACAAGUUAAAUUCUAUGUGCAGGAUCAGAAAUCCGAUCAAGAAUUCUGUCUCUACCACUUAACAGCUAGUUUGUAUUUUAGCUUCCUCACUGCAACAUGGGGAUAAAACCCACCUCAGUUGCAUAGUUUAAGUGACAUGAGACAUACAGAGAUUACAAUUACCACCUGAUACAGCGUAAGAACUUGGUAAAUAUGAGUUAUUAAAAUGAUGAUGAAAAUCAUCGCAGAGAUAUGUAUAUAGAUUUACAUAUAUCUACAUAUAUAUUUACAUCCUGAGGGAGGGAAAGAUAUAGCUCCAAAAAUAUAACAAAUAGUCCUAGGAACUAAAAUCACUUUUGUUUCAAAGAGCUGCUGAGUAAGGGAAUGGGAUAUAUUAUGGAGCCAGAGCAAAGGCCACAAUGAAGGAAAAUUUUAAUAGAAUAAUCAAUAGUGCUAAUAACUUUUAAAGCAAAAGUUUUCAAAAAUUCCCACCAAACCAGUUUCGUCAUUUUCACAACCAAACAGAAGUUUCACAAAGAACAGAGUGUACCUGAACAAUCCUCAAUGUAUUCUAAAAUCCACAAGUCUUUUUCUUUUUUUUUUUUAAAGGGCAGAUUCUAGGGUCACACAGCUUUAAUUUAUACAACACUGACCUACAAUAGGUCAUUUGGAGAGUCAAAUUCUAAUCUCAGAUCAUAGUUACAAUGGCUCUUUCAUAGCUUAUGUUUCCCUAACUAUAGAUUUAAAAUAACCAUCAGAAAAGUAUUUAGAAAUAAAAAAAGGCCACUGCAAAAAAUAAAAUUAAUUAACUAAAGUAAAACACUGACAUUUUUCAUCCCAAAUCCAAACAAGAUUUUUAGAUUUGCUAUUAACAAAACCUCAAACAAAUACACAGAUCUUAUGGUAGUGGCUAUCUAAAUCAAAAGAAAAAGAUAUCUAUUCUUUUAAGCUUGGCACUGUUAGCCUGCCAAUAUGCCAAUAGGAAGCAACAAACUCUCACCUAACACAAAUGUUUUGUGGCACAAGACAGGACAAGAAUUAAAAAAUGAAUUGAACGUAACUUCUCAGAAUUUCCAGUAACUCUAUGUUGACUGUUUUGAUGUAAAACAUAUUAAUUUAGUGUUUAUAUCACAGUAUUCAAUCACUUAAUCAAAGUAUCAUUUGAGUUCCAGCACAAGAUUUGUUAGGGGCAAUGCAAAAGUUUAAAACUAACCCCCCAAUUUUUUAAAGACAGGAAAUUAACUUGUAUCUUCAUAUUUU